UACGUAGGGGGCAAGCGUUGUCCGGAUUUACUGGGCGUAAAGAGCGUGUAGGCGGCCAAACAGGUCCGUUGUGAAAACUGGAGGCUCAACUUCCAGACGUCGACGGAAACCGUGUGGCUAGAGUCCGGAAGAGGAGAGUGGAAUUCCUGGUGUAGCGGUGAAAUGCGCAGAUAUCAGGAAGAACACCAAUUGCGAAGGCAGCUCACUACACAAAUAUUGACACUGAGGCACGAAAUCGUGGGGAUCAAACAGG
rnacentral:rRNA from 1 species